GAACACCUUAAUAUGGGGCAGGUACUGAGGAGGGCGAGGGACCAGGGUCCAUGAUGAAGGAAACAUGGCUGACGUUCUCAAGGAGUCCAUGGUCUAGUGGAUAUUCAGUAUCCAUGACUGCACAAGUUACCUCAAAAUGCAGCAGCUUAAAACAGCACCAGUUAUUUAUUAACUCAAAUGGUUUCUGUGUGUCAGGAAUCUCAGAGUAUAUUCGCUGGGUGGUUCUUAGGAUUCCUCAUGAGGUUGCAGUCAUCUGAAUACUUGCUCUGGGAUGUAAGAUCUAAUUCUAUGCUGGCUCCCACAUACAUGCCCGGCAGUUGAUGCCAGCUAUCAAUAAGAAGGCUCACGUUUUUGCCACUCCAGAAGUCUGCUUGAGAGUCUUUACAACAUGCUGGCUUCCCCCAAAGUGAGUGGUCCCAAAGACAGCAAGGUGGAGGCAAGGUUAUCUUGAAAACUUGGCCUCAGAAGUAACAUGGCAUCAUUCCUGCAACAUCUUAUUGGUUAUAUAGUCGAGAGAAAAAUAUAGUUUUAAAAAUUGUGCUACUACAGAAAGUCUGCAAAAUGCAAUGAAAACGAGAAAACUAGAAUACAUGUACCCAGAGAUAAAAUAACGUUACUGGGAAUCCUCCGUGCUGAAUGAAACAGCCUCAAAAUUCUUACCAAGACUUCUUCAUUCAAACACCUGGUUAGAGCCAACUAUGAGCAAGCACAUGCUAAGAAUUGGGAAGCAGAAAGAAGAGCCGAGGGGUCCAUCCACGUAGGCUCCACACUGCAGUGGCAAGUGAGACAUACAUCCACCAAUACCCAUGCAUCAAAGGUCCAGCUUCACUGGAGCUGCUCCAGCCUUAUGAGAGCAUUUCGUCACAGCACCUGAAGUUCAACCAUUGUUAAGUGUGGUCCCCACUGAACUAUAAACCAGGCCCAGCAGCCAGAAAACCCAGAUCCCAUUCUGGGAAAAGCUAUAUGUUAGAAAGAAACAUAUGUGAUCUCUUGUUGGGCAAUUCAGUUGCACUUCUUGGCCUAAUUCAUGAAAAAAAAAAAAAAAAAAAACUUGUAAGUAUUAAGCCUUCUUCCCACCCUAGAAUCCUAUGAUUUCAUGCUCUCUUCAGUCUCUCCCAGAAGAAAAUGUCCAGUAUUCAGGAAGCAUAGCUUCCCAGGAAACAGAUAGGGUAGCAGCAGUUUACCCACCCCCUACAUGACAGGAACAAUGAGUCUGCCUCCUAAAGGACGGCAGGGGGCUGGAAGAUUACAGUUCUCUAAAGACAACCUCUGCCAUCCUCCAUAGAGACCAGCACAAAGGCAAUUAAGGAUGAGUAGGAGGCCAGUUUUUAGAGUCCACCAUCAAUAUUUUCUGCAGCCACAGUCCUGAAUCUCACUUCAUCAUCUUUCUGAUGUUGGUAACAAGCGGGCAUUGGGUCUAAGAGAAAAGGAGAAAAAUUAGGGCUCCCAGCUAGACAGGUGAAUCAUGAAACAGCCACUGCCCUGCCGCUUCCCUUCCUGAGCUCGGGAUCACGCGCACCCCAGUGAUGGCAUGGGGGUGACUUUCUGGGCCAGCUGGAGCAAGAUCAAAGGCUGGUAGACAUGUAGGGCCUUGUCUGAAAACUGGCAAGAAAUGUUUUCCUGAUUUAAAGCCAACUGUCUAGAGUGAUGACUGUUAGUUUAGAACAGGAUCCUUGGAUGGAAGUGACAGAGCCAUCCCCCUCCUCAGCAGCAUCCUUAGAAGGGCUCCCUUUCAUCCCCUACAGGAAGUACCAUUCCCAGCAGGCCUUCCAUGCAGGAGCCAUGCUUAAUAUACUGGUUCUUCAGGAACACCCAGAGAAGGAACCUGCCCCCAUCAAAAGCUCAGAGAGUCCUUGUCUAGACACAAUGACAGUAACUUAGCUGAAAUAAGCCACAGAGAGGGAAACAGGACAUAGGAGAAAGGGCACAGAUACUGGAGUCAGACAGUUCUGGAUAUUCAUCCUGGCUCUGCCAUGUACCGGUUACAUGAUUUGUAGUUAGUUAACUCCCCUAUGCCUCAGUUCCUUUGUAUGUACAAUGGGAAUAAUAACAGGACCUAGUCCAUAGAGGUGUUGUUGAGAAACAGACCAUGAGAGAACCAUGUAAAACAUGA
rnacentral:lncRNA from 1 species